AAACGACUCUCGGCAACGGAUAUCUCGGCUCACGCAUCGAUGAAGAACGUAGCAAAAUGCGAUACUUGGUGUGAAUUGCAGAAUCCCGUGAACCAUCGAGUUUUUGAACGCAAGUUGCGCCCAAUGCCAUUUGGUUGAGGGCACGCCUGCCUGGGCGUCACGCAU
rnacentral:rRNA from 2 species